GACGAACGCUGGCGGCGUGCUUAACACAUGCAAGUCGAGCGGUAAGGCCCUUUCGGGGGUACACGAGCGGCGAACGGGUGAGUAACACGUGGGUGACCUGCCCUCAGCUCUGGGAUAAGCCUGGGAAACCGGGUCUAAUACUGGAUAUGACUCCAUGACGCAUGUUGUGGGGUGGAAAGCCUUGUGCGGCUGAGGAUGGGCCCGCGGCCUAUCAGCUUGUUGGUGGGGUGAUGGCCUACCAAGGCGACGACGGGUAGCCGGCCUGAGAGGGCGACCGGCCACACUGGGACUGAGACACGGCCCAGACUCCUACGGGAGGUAGCAGUGGGGAAUCUUGCGCAAUGGGCG
rnacentral:rRNA from 1 species